rnacentral:rRNA from 1 species
GACGAACCGUGCGAACGUUGUUCGGAAUCACUGGGCUUAAAGGGCGCGUAGGCGGGCUCGCCAGUCAGGGGUGAAAGCCCACGGCUCAACCGUGGAAGUGCCUUUGAUACUGCGAGUCUCGAGCGAGGUAGGGGCGUGCGGAACUUCCGGUGGAGCGGUGAAAUGCGUAGAUAUCGGAAGGAACACCGGUGGCGAAAGCGGCGCGCUGGACCUCUUCUGACGCUGAGGCGCGAAAGCCAGGGGAGCAAACAGG